rnacentral:rRNA from 1 species
AUGUCUCUCGAGCGGCGCGAGACCAAGAAAGCGAUCAUGGCGACCGACGGGCAGGCCGACCGCCUCAGCUCCCUCCCCGACGACCUCCUCUACCACGUACUCUCCUUCCUCCCGGCGCACGAAGUGGUGCCGACGUGCGUGCUCGCGCGGCGCUGGCGCCACCUCUGGAGAUUCGCGCCUGCACUGCGCAUCACCGGCGUCAAGGGGUGCAACAACGCGGAGUGGUUCGUCAACUUCGUCCACAGCCUGCUCCUCCUCCGCGACCCCCGCACCCAGCUAGACUCCUUCGAGAUCGACCUCGACGACGGCGACUUCGAUUUCAAGGAGUUCCUGCCCGCCAACGAGGAGCACGUGAACCGGUGGUUCCGGCACGCCGUGAUGUGCGGACCCAGGGUGCUGGCGCUGCGCACCACCGAUGGCAUCUACAUGUACGAGGACGAUUACCAGCCGAUGAUGCUUUCUAAUGUCCCUCUCAUCUCUCAACACCUUACCAGAUUGGAACUCGAGAUGGUGGACGUGUACAGCAGUACCCUCGAUUUGUCAGGUUGUCCGGCGCUGGUUCAUCUCAAGAUUGACGACAGCGACAUAGAUGGGAACAUCACUUCUCCGUCCUUGCAACAUCUCAGCAUCAACCUCAGUUAUUUUCGGACAGGCCCCUUUCGCACCCGGAUCCGUACGCCUAACCUUGUUUCCCUGGAGCUAAUCGAUGUUAUGCGUAGGGCUCCGGUACUGGUUGAAAACAUGCCACUGUUAGUUUCGGCAAGUGUUAUUCUUAGUUCACAUUGUGUUGAUUCUUGUUCUAAGAAUGACUGUGGGGAUUGCAAUGAUCUUCAGUGUUAUGGUUGUCAUUCUUCUGAACGUGGUGCUGAUGACAGACGUGGCGAGUCUGUUCUUUUCGAAGGAUUAGCAGAAGUCCAGCAGCUGGAGUUGUCAGUUGAUCCUAAAGUGUUUAUUGUCAACAGGGAUUUCAAAUUGAGCCCUACAUUUAGCAAGUUAAAGACUUUGCUGCUCAGCAAAUGGUGUCCCGGUAUUGCUGGUGACCUCAAUAUAUUAAGUUGCUUCCUUAAACAUUCACCAAUUAUGGAGAAGCUCACUCUCCAUCUUUCUGAGGUACCUAAAGUUCCAGUGGAAACACAAAGAAGUUACACUCCACCAGAUCAACCACUUGAAUGCAGCCAUCUGAAGAUAGUUGAGAUCAGAUGUGACGAAGUUGAUGAGAGGGCUCAAAGGUUUUUAAUAUCUUGA